rnacentral:rRNA from 1 species
GAUGAACGCUAGCGGCAGGCUUAACACAUGCAAGUCGAGGGGUAUAGGUUUUCGGACCUAGAGACCGGCGCACGGGUGCGUAACGCGUAUGCAAUCUACCUUUCACAGAGGGAUAGCCCAGAGAAAUUUGGAUUAAUACCUCAUAGUAUAGCAGUUUCGCAUGAAACCACUAUUAAAGUUCCAACGGUGAAAGAUGAGCAUGCGUCCCAUUAGCUAGAUGGUAAGGUAACGGCUUACCAUGGCUACGAUGGGUAGGGGUCCGGAGAGGGGGAUCCCCCACGCGGGUACUGAGACACGGACCAGGCUCAUACGGGAGGCGGCAGUGAGGAAUGUUGGUCAAUGGGCGCAAGUCUGAACCAGCCAUGCCGCGUGCAGGAUGACGGUCCUAUGGAUUGUAAACUGCUUUUGUACGAGAAGAAACAACAUUACGUGUAAUGUCUUGACGGUAUCGUAAGAAUAAGGAUCGGCUAACUCCGUGCCAGCCGCCGCAGUAAUAC